rnacentral:rRNA from 1 species
UACGUAGGGUGCGAGCGUUGUCCGGAAUUCCUGGGCGUAAAGAGCUCGUAGGUGGUUUGUCGCGUUGUUCGUGAAAACUCACAGCUCAACUGUGGGCGUGCGGGCGAUACGGGCAGACUGGAGUACUGCAGGGGAGACUGGAGUUCCUGGUGUAGCGGUGGAAUGCGCAGAUAUCAGGAGGAACACCAAUGGCGAAGGCAGCUCGCUGGGACGGUACUGACGCUGAGGCGCGAAAGCGUGGGGAGCAAACAGG